rnacentral:rRNA from 1 species
CAGUAGCCACGGGAAUACGUAGGUGGCAAGCGUUGUCCGGAAUUAUCGGGCGUAAAGGGCUCGCAGGCGGUUUCUUAAGUCUGAUGUGAAAGCCCCCGGCUCAACCGGGGAGGGUCAUUGGAAACUGGGAAACUUGAGUGCAGAAGAGGAGAGUGGAAUUCCACGUGUAGCGGUGAAAUGCGUAGAGAUGUGGAGGAACACCAGUGGCGAAGGCGACUCUCUGGUCUGUAACUGACGCUGAGGAGCGAAAGCGUGGGGAGCGAACAGGAUUAGAUACCCCCGUAGUCCCUGUCUCUUAUAA